GGCCAGCACUCCGUGCGAGCAGAAAUUUAUUCCUACGCCAUUGCAGCGCUGCAAAUAGAGGGAGAGCACAGAGCUAAUUCUAACCCUGCAUAAACGCCUUCAUCUGCAUUUGUAAAGGGUCGAGCUCACCAGUGGUAUUGGCUGCUGUAAUGCAUUGAUGCAUUUACAUCGUGUGAGCUGUCCUUCAGAUGGAGGCAGGUUGCUGUGAGAGAGCCGCAUCCUGGGCUGCUGCGUGCCCGGGUGCAGCUCGCUGGCUGGUGGCCAGCACCCUCAGGUGGCCCCAAUUACAGCCAGGGCCCUCCUGAUUUAAAGGUGCAGAAGGAGGGGGCAGCUCCUUUGAUCCCUGUGCACGUGGUGUAGGGAGGAGAGAGGAUCCCUCAGCCACUGCUGCAAGGAGCUGGAGGCUGUCAGAAGAAAUGGGACCUGCCCUGUUCGUACGUCGCUGGCCAGAGCUGGCUGCCUGUUUCAUUUUGUUUGUCCCAGUGAUGAGUGGGGGUUUGUCUUCCUCCUGAGGCAGCUGGGCUGCAGGAAAAAGGAAAUAACUGCAAAUCAAAAGGAAAAAAGGUAUUUGCUCGCUGUCAGAAUAGGAAACCGCUAAAACACUCAACAUUUGGAUUGGUCCUUGGGUUUGGUCAAUUUUACCUUAAACAAAGCAGAGCUCAUUGGGAAUAUCGAGGCAAGUUCAGAACUGGCUUUUACAAAGGACUACAGAAAACUGCCUAAGGGACUUUGGAGAAAUCCCUGGCCCCAGGAAAAUGAAACGCGGUCCUGUUGCUUUUCAGUGAAAUACUGUCCUGGAAAAAUUCUCUGCUCGCUCUCUAUUGCCUUAAAAAUAGCCCUCCACCUUGAUCUUGUGGCCAUUUCAAGCAGGGCUUAGUAAGCCCUCAAGCAGCAGGAGCAGGAGCACCUGCCUCAAAUAGAAGAGCCACCUGGUGAGGAGGCCAGCAGCUUUCUAAAACCUCUCCCAUCACAGGAGAGACUCAGCUGGCAAGCUGCUGCCCCAGCUUUAUGAGUCAGGUGGAGCAGCUGCCGGAGAAGCUCAGGGAAGAAAAUACAGUUGCAUUACUGCUACUAAAAGAGAUGGGAUGAUAAAUCAAGUAUGUGUUCUGCCCUCGUUCCCUCUCAGUAUUUCACUAAAAGAUCAGGCCCCUUGUCUGGAAAUUGCCUGCUGGGUGCUCUACACAUCCCCUCUGUGCGUAUGCAGGUGAUGUCUCCCCUAGGCGUAAUUUCUUUAGAUGGAGCUGACUUGCUUGCCUUCCUUGGACUUUCCCUGAAGGUCUCAUCUUCCACACUUCCCUCUGGCUCUUGUUCCCCUUCUCUCGACUCCCUCCAAAUCUCCUGCCCUGUUGGACAGUCUCUUUCUCCACAUCUGUUAACUUCAGUCUCCUGAAAACUGUUAUAAUCACUUGGAACAUUACAGGCCGUUUAUUUUUGUUGUUGAUGGCACGCCUGAUACCUCGUGGUACUUGCAGAACCAUUUCCAGCAUAGCCCAAAGUCUUUAGGAUUGGUUUCUGCUCAUGGGUAUUUACUUUUGAGGCUUAAACAGAAGCACCAGCAGCUCAGGCAGUAGCUUGUACUCACUGAUCAUCUCCAGGGCUCCACGAGCUGCAGCUGGUGUCAGGUCAAUGGAUCUGGAUUGAUUUCAUUCACCCUCUGGGAUCUGAAUCUAUCAGGCCUACUGGAGUCGCAUUUUAAACCAACAGCUCUAGAAAUGUGCUUCUUCAUCUAACCAGUGCCAGAACUUGCAUGGCUUCUAUGCUGGACUUGCUCCUAAUGCAACUGCUGGAUGCUUCGAGUCCUCCAGACACCGGUGGGUAAAAGCUGGCACCGGUGCACAUUGCCUUCUUAAAGAAGUAAUUCAUUACUACUUGAAUUCAAGACAUUAUUCUUGUUUUUAAAUUGCUUUUUGUUACACUGCUCUCUUCCGUGUUUUAAGUACUACUACAGCUGGAUGUAAAUGUGAAACUUGGCCCAGCUGCACCUUUACCUUCUCAGGAGAGCGUUUAAGUCUCACGCCUGAUGCCAAGGCCACGCUUUCACACAGGGGCAGCAUUUGAAGCCUGGGCAACGGGACUCGCUCUCCCUUCUGACUGCACCUCAUGCUUACAUCAGCUUAAAUCGACCGUGAAGCUACAGCAGGAGAGACAGGGAUACCAGCACCUCGUACAAGAAGAGACAGAUUCAGCCAUGCGGGCAAAAGCACAAAUGCUGUGUGUCUCUAUGGCCGGAGAGCAUCUCCCGGGGGGCUGUGCCCAUGACAGGCGGCCAGGAAACCCGGCUGACAGCAGCUCUGACCCCACGGACCCGGGCAGGAGGCCCCCAGGCAAUGCAGCCUCUCCUCUGGCUCUGCAAACAGAAAUGUGGCACUACCAAGGGAGCAGAGAGCCCUGACUGGCUCCUAAUGGCAUCAGUAAUAGAUGCUGAGUGCUGCCUCCCUGCUUCAUUAGCCUGCAAGGUUUCCCUGCCUCAUUGCAAAGCAAAGCCAUGGUCGCUCUAAAUAACUGGAAUUAAUAUAUGCACUAAUCCAAGGAAACUUCAUUUCCUCUGAUUUCUCCCCAAGAAUACAGCCCUCGUGCAAUUGCAGGCAUGGCACAACCUUAUAUACCCCACAUGGAUGUAUCUGUAUUGUGGAGAGGAAAUAAUCUGGUGGAUUUGCACUAACCCCAAAUGGCAUUUGUGAACAGGAGGCUCUGUGGGCUGCCGUACCCAAACUGACCCCCUAUUCACUCUGCUUUCUCAAAAUGAUGACUUCAAUUACUCCCUCCUUUUUUCAGGCCAUCACACUGAAAUGCUGCUGCAUGUGAAUGAUGUUACUUGUUUUCCUUGACUGUCUGAGGACACAGGUCUGGGGCAGCCGAGGCAGUGAAAACUCCUGUUCCUGGCUCCUAAGAGCGCUGGUUUGGUCUCCUGCGUGUCCCAAACAAGGUGCCUGGUCCUCAGAUCUCUAAAACAGAAGACUUAAUCUUUUAGCCAUAGCUUUAUUGACCCGAUACAAAAAAUAAAGCAUUUAAUCAUAUGGGAAAGUAGCAGCGUGGACAAUAGAAUGAAUGAAAAUGUUCUCCAAGGCUUAUCAAAUUGUUUUGGGAAUAAGAAAAAUGACAGACCUCUCAUUUCCCCAGGAUGCUGGAUGGCAGCUGUGCAACAGAAAUGCUAUGAAACCUCUGUUGAGAGCACAGAAGGCAUCCUAUUAAAGAAAAAGUUCAUUCAGGCUCCUCCUACCUGUUCUCUGUCAUGGAGAACAGCAUCUGUCUUGCAGUUGUUAGGAAACCCUAGUUUCCUAAUGGAAUGUGUUAUGAAAAUAUCCCCCUGGCAAUGGGGCAGUAGCCUGCAUUUAGUGGAUGCAGAGGGAGGGAGGGGGCUGCCUGCAGGGCAUCCUCACCCAUCCCUCCCCAUGCCAGAGCACUCACCCUUAAAUUAAUCCCUCCUGACAGCCUCCAGGGUACUCCUGACCAUGCCAGGUCUCCUGGCAAAUGCCAUCCCUCUGUCCAGCUCCUCCUGCACUCACCCCUACCAACCAAGAGGAAAUGAGAGCUGUCACACUCCCAAGUCGUUGCUAUUUUUGUGAGGAUGAGCACCACCAAGAUGCCUGUGCAUGCUUUGCUAACAGUCUGGCUGCUUACAGCAUGGUGCAGGGCGAUGCUCAGCGCAAGGCAGGGGCUGCCUCAGCAGCUCCUGCUGAUGGCAGUGGUCUUGAGCUAGCCCUGGUGGGAAAAAGGAAAGACAAGACUCAUUAAGUGGCUUCAGUGGGGUGAUUCUACAGAAAGACUUCACCAAUUUAGGUUAUUUGGGUGCCACAGGAGCCUGUUCAGGUUUUUGCAGGAGGGUGUCCAAGUUCAGGACACCUCUAGGGAUUCGCAGCAACAGCCACCCUAAGAAAAGCUAAAGCCUUGCCCAGCUCGUGUCCCUGAGUUUCUCCUGCUGAUUUCAACUCAGAGAUGACAGGUUGCUCUUUAUUCACUCUCAUACACCUGGGCUCCAUCCUAAGGUUUUGGCAGGUUGCCUCUUCCCGUACUUGAGAUCAGGGGGUACUCAGACAAGCUGAUGAACUGAAAAGCUGAAAGUCCAGAUUUAUGUAAAUAGCCCUGGAGAGCAGUUUUCCACUUACAGCAAGUAAAACCUGAGGCAGCUGGAAUAAAACUGAAAAAAGGACACCUGAAGUUUAAAGGUUAGGAGUGUUCUGUAUCUUUUAUCCUAAAUGUGAGCAAUCCGAUCAAACCACCAAAUGAGCAAACAGAAGUCUGCUCAGUUCUGACUUACGUAGUGACCAGAGGCUGGUAAAAACUGGGAGAUGCUUUUUCUUCCCCUCUCAGUAAGCAGCUCUCCUUUUAGACUGAAAACUAUAAGUUAAUUUUGUCCUCUACCUUGAAAACUGCCCAGGAGUCCCAUUGCAUCUGCGAAGCAAUGCCAGCUGCACUUGCCAUCCCAGACGAUCCCACAGACCGAAGGUGUGCAAAGGACUGUGGAAUUUUGUCAUACUUGAAAGCUUACAAUAACUUUACGAUUAAUACAAAUAAUGAAGGGAGAUGGGUAUUUUUACUUAAAAAUGGAGCUUUUAGAAAUUGCGUACCUCGGCUACCCAAGGUACAAGUUCCUUUUUCUCAUGACAGCCUUCCAGCAGCUGGAUGCUGUGUCCCACCAAACCAAGGGGACAUUCUGUGCUCAGCAGCAGCACCUGCUGACAACCCCAGGAAGCCUGGAAGCAUUUCUUACCCAAACCUUUCACUGCUCCAGCAUGUGACCAAGUUGCAAAUACUCCCUCAGGAGGAGCUUGUUUUACGUUGUCUGCCUCAGCCCAGCAACACGUUUGCUUUUUUAACAGCCAGCAAUGAGUUCAUUUUCAAUUAGGAAGCGCACGCUGCAGUCAGUCCAGCAGUCUGCAAUUCUUAUGCAGGGGUUCUUGGUGGUUCCCCAGCUCUGCAGCCUUGCCAUGUGGGGCCGGGCAGGCUAUUAGGGUUUGGAAAUUGGCUUCACACAUACCGAACGCUCAUCUGCUGCAAGCCCAGUAUGCCCCCCAGCCCUGCAAAAAGGGCAUCUUUUCCCCCAAGGCAGCCACGUGGCCAAAAA